rnacentral:rRNA from 1 species
CCUACGGGAGGCAGCAGUGAGGAAUAUUGGUCAAUGGACGAGAGUCUGAACCAGCCAAGUCGCGUGAAGGAUGACUGCCCUCUGGGUUGUAAACUUCUUUUAUAAAGGAAUAAAACGAGGCACGUGUGCCUUUUUGCAUGUACUUUAUGAAUAAGGAUCGGCUAACUCCGUGCCAGCUGCCGCGGUAAUACGGAGGAUCCGAGCGUUAUCCGGAUUUGUUGGGUUUAAAGGGAGCGUAGAUGGGUUGUUAAGUCAGUUGUGAAAGUUUGCGGCUCAAGCGUAAAAUUGCAGUUGAUACUGGCAGUCGUGAGUACAGUAGAGGUGGGCGGAAUUCGUGGUGUAGCGGUGAAAUGCGUAGAUAUCACGAAGAACCCCGAUUGCGAAGGCAGCUUACUAGACUGUGACUGACAUUGAUGCGCGAAAGUGUGGGUAGCAAACAGGAUUAGAUACCCUAGUAGUC